UCUCCUAUGGCGCAAUCGGUGGCGCGUCUGACUGUUAGUCAUGCUUGAUCAUUGCUGACGUCAUCAGAAGGUUGUUGGUUCGAUCCCAACUGGGAGAG